rnacentral:piRNA from 1 species
CACAAGAGACAGCUAUAUCAGGA